rnacentral:rRNA from 1 species
GAUGAACGCUGACAGAAUGCUUAACACAUGCAAGUCGACUCGAGUCUUCGGACUUGGGUGGCGCACGGGUGAGUAACGCGUAAAGAACUUGCCUCUUAGACCGGGACAACAUCUGGAAACGGAUGCUAAUACCGGAUAUUAUGGUUUUUUCGCAUGGAGGAAUCAUGAAAGCUAGAUGCGCUAAGAGAGAGCUUUGCGUCCCAUUAGCUGGUUGGUGAGGUAACGGCCCACCAAGGCAAUGAUGGGUAGCCGGCCUGAGAGGGUGAACGGCCACAAGGGGACUGAGACACGGCCCUUACUCCUACGGGAGGCAGCAGUGGGGAAUAUUGGACAAUGGACCGCAAGUCUGAUCCAGCAAUUCUGUGUGCACGAUGACGUUUUUCGGAAUGUAAAGUGCUUUCAGUCGGGAAGAAGUCAGUGACGGUACCGACAGAAGAAGCGACGGCUAAAUACGUGCCAGCAGCCGCGGUAAUACGUAUGUCGCAAGCGUUAUCCGGAUUUAUUGGGCGUAAAGCGCGUCUAGGCGGCAAGGAAAGUCUGAUGUGAAAAUGCGGAGCUCAACUCCGUAUGGCGUUGGAAACUGCCUUACUAGAGUACUGGAGAGGUAGGCGGAACUACAAGUGUAGAGGUGAAAUUCUUAGAUAUUUUGUAGGAAUGCCGAUGGGGAAGCCAGCCUACUGUACAGAUACUGACGCUAAAGCGCGAAAGCGUGGGUAGCAAACAUG